UCAACCCAUUAAUAAUUAUUUUUCUUAAUUCACAUGCACAAAACUUAGAGCAUCACCCAUUGACCCCUAUCAUAUUACACAAAUUUCAUACAUUAUCGGCAAACCAAAAGUCUAUAGAAAAUACUAGUACAAAAAUAAUCACCAGUAUGUAUCCAAAAAAAUAAAAUAAAUAAUCACCAGUAGGUAGAAUGAUCCAUAGAUUUUAGAUCAUCCGACAAUUUUUAUUUUUUUGAAAAUUCAGUAUCUAAUUUAAGGAUUAAUUAAUUCGAGAGAAUUAAUCCUACG
rnacentral:lncRNA from 1 species